GGAUCCAGACUUGAUUUUGCUCAGGACGAACGCUGGCGGCGCGCCUAACACAUGCAAGUCGAGCGGGAAGCUUUUUAAGGAUUCUUCGGAUGAAUUAAAAAAUGGAGAGCGGCGGACGGGUGGGUAACGCGUGAGAAACCUGCCCUAUACAGGGGGAUAGCCAUUGGAAACGAUGAUUAAUACCCCAUAUGACCACAGUAUCGCAUGAUACAGCGGUGAAAACUCCGGUGGUAUAGGAUGGUCUCGCGUCUGAUUAGCUAGUUGGUGGGGUAACGGCCUACCAAGGCGACGAUCAGUAGCCGGCCUGAGAGGGUGACCGGCCACACUGGAACUGAGACACGGUCCAGACUCCUACGGGAGGCAGCAGUGGGGAAUAUUGCACAAUGGGCGAAAGCCUGAUGCAGCGACGCCGCGUGAACGAUGAAGGCUUUCGAGUCGUAAAGUUCUGUUCUUGGGGAAGAUAACGACGGUACCCAAGGAGAAAGCACCGGCUAAAUACGUGCCAGCAGCCGCGGUAAU
rnacentral:rRNA from 1 species